rnacentral:rRNA from 1 species
GGCGAGUGAAGCGGCAACAGCUCAAAUUUGAAAUCUGGCCUUCUUUGGGGGUCCGAGUUGUAAUUUGCAGAGGGCGCUUUGGCGUCGGCAGCGGUCUAAGUUCCUUGGAACAGGACGUCACAGAGGGUGAGAAUCCCGUACGUGGUCGCCUGCCUUCGCCGUGUAAAGCCCCUUCGACGAGUCGAGUUGUUUGGGAAUGCAGCUCUAAAUGGGAGGUAAAUUUCUUCUAAAGCUAAAUACUGGCCAGAGACCGAUAGCGCACAAGUAGAGUGAUCGAAAGAUGAAAAGCACUUUGGAAAGAGAGUCAAACAGCACGUGAAAUUGUUGAAAGGGAAGCGCUUGCCGCCAGACUUGCCCGUGAAGGUUCUCCUCCUCGGGCAGGCCAGCAUCAGUUUGAGCGAUCGGAUAAUGGCCUCUGUCAUGUAUCUUCCUUCGGGAUGACCUUAUAGGGGAGUCGUAGUACGGUCAGCUCGGACUGAGGUCCGCGCAUUUGCUAGGAUGCUGGCGUAAUGGCUGCAAGCGGCCCGUCUUGAAACACGGACCAAGGAGUCUAACAUCUAUGCGAGUGUUUGGGUGUCAAGCCCGAGCGCGCAAUGAAAGUGAACGGAGGUGGGAACCCUCUCUGGGGGUGCACCAUCGACCGAUCCUGAAGUCUUCGGAUGGAUUUGAGUAAGAGCAUGGCUGUUGGGACCCGAAAGAUGGUGAACUAUGCUUGAAUAGGGUGAAGCCAGAGGAAACUCUGGUGGAGGCUCGCAGCGGUUCUGACGUGCAAAUCGAUCGUCAAAUUUGGGCAUAGGGGCGAAAGACUAAUCGAACUAUCU